UCCUAUAAUAAUAAUAAAACAUUUUAUUUUUUUUUCCUUUACAUUAAGCUCUGAAUGUGUUGUACUGGCUUCUUGCUAGCAGUAUUUUUCUGGGCAGUGACUUCUGAUCUUGGAGGUGAAAAAGUGCAAAACCUGUCCAUGGACAAAGGCACAACCCAAAUAACUGAGUGUAAGGAGCUGGGUGUGCAAAGAAAACUUUCCUUUAUCUAUUCAAACAGAAGACAGCCAGCUGUAGAGAUUCAUGGUAAAAGAAAAUAUUUUCAAAAUUUGGCUGCAAACGAGAAGCAGAGCACCAGUGCAAUAAAUGAUAAGGAAGGCUGAACAUUUCACAAAAGGAAAACUACCAGAAAGAGUCUGAGGUUUUGACCUCAUCCAGAAGCCUCUGGUUUACUUUACUAAUAAAACUUCCAGCAAAACAGACUUAAUUGUUGAAAUGCUUUUUGGUUUUGAUAGAGCUAUGCAUUCUGCCAAGACAUGGCUGCUGGAUGAGCAAAGACUUCCAAGACAGUCUCUGCAGUAACAGAUGCAGGACAGAAGGCUGGAAGUGACAUGAAGCAUAGAAGGUCCAACCAAAAUUACACAGGGCAGCAGCAGGAAUGAACUUUGAAAAUCCUGAGUGUGACCAAUAGAGGGACAAGCUGGAGCACUUCAGGAAUGACCUGUGAAGAUGAAAUCCUCUGGAACCACUGGUCUUGGUACCAGUUUGGACAGAUGUCACUGCAGAAUAUCUACAGUUUGUCUUUAAAGUAUAUGCAAAGACUUCAUAGGGUGAGGUUUACGAAG